rnacentral:lncRNA from 13 species
AUGCAGAGUUAUUUUGACUUCUGGCAGAAAGANNNNNNNNNNNNNNNNNNNNNNNNNNNNNNNNNNNNNNNNNNNNNNNNNNNNNNNNNNNNNNNNNNNNNNNNNNNNNNNNNNNNNNNNNNNNNNNNNNNNNNNNNNNNNNNNNNNNNNNNNNNNNNNNNNNNNNNNNNNNNNNNNNNNNNNNNNNNNNNNNNNNNUCCUUCCUUUCCUUCCUUUCCUUUCCUUUCCUUCCCUUCCUUCCUUCUCUUCCUUCCUUCCCUUCCUUCAACUCUGAAAGCACCCACGAGAAGAAUACGUGAUCAGGCAUGGAGGCCUGUGAUUGACCCAGAGCCCACAGAGUUUCAGAGGCAGUUGAGCACUCUGACAGAGGAGGAAUACACCACUGCCACAACUCCCAACCACACUGCUGGAAUGAUCAGUAUUGCCAGUCAGAGGCCAGACCCAUCAACAUCCACACUUGACCCAUUGGCUAAGCCCUUUGGGACAACAGUCCAUGAGAGAAGGCAGGAGGCAUUCUCAAUGUUUGGAGUGGAGGUUGUCCAGGCAAUGGCAGGCCCUUCAUGUCAGUCUCCCAUCCAAGUGGGACAGACAUUGCGGUAUGGGAUGGGAGCAACUGUUGAGCCAAAAGAAAUUUCACACAGCCAGACCACUUGUGAGGUUGUGGCCCUGGCAAAGUGUCAAGUUGUAGAGGACUUGGAGAUGAUAUGUAAGGAAGAAAUGGAAGAGGAAGUCAUAGAGUCAGGCUCCGGAAUAGAGCAUUCUGGGAAGGAAGAGGUUACUGUGGCUAGGCAGGUGGAAGUGUAUGAGAUGCGACCUGAAAACAUGGUUUCUCUGCCGCCAUCAUGCCUAAGAGUUGCCAGUGCACCAGGGUUUCUAUCCACUCAAGCAUCCUGUUCAGAGGCUCAGUUAGAAUACUGUCCAGUGGACAAUAGCAUAUUAUGGGAGACGCCAAGAAAGGAUGGGUCAGAGCUAUCUAUCGAAAGAUCAAAAGAGAAGAGAGACAUGGUGAGAGGAAUGGCAGAAAUGGUCUCAUCUUGUCCAAGCACUGUCAGCAUUCCGGGAUUUCUGUCUCCACAUCUGUCCAAGGAAGCCAAGUUACAGAGGGAACCUAGCAUGACAGAUCUAAUGCCAUCCUGCCCAAGAUUGUCUGGCACACUCGGAUUCCCUUCUCUUGAAAGUCAAGUAAAGGAGUGUACAAUCAACAUUGAGGCCAUUUGGGAGAAGCCCCCGAAGGGGAAAAAAAGGAUGGCCUUUAUGUCCACUCCACAUUUGGACAGAUUAAACGAAGACAAGGAGCUAAUGAAACACAUGGUGGCUCUGGUACCAUCAUGCCCUACCACAACAAGUAUUCCUGGCUUCCCCUCUGCACCACAUCCCAAAGCUGAGGUAUAUCCAAGUAUGUUGAGUCAUGUGCCAGCGUGCCCUAAAGUGUCCAGUCCCCCGGGUUUUGCAUCCACUGGGGGGGCUACAACAUUAGAGUGGCUUGUUGACCCAAAGUCUAUGUUUGAGCACUUGCAGAAAAAUAAGGAGAAUAAAGAAGAAAACGUUUCUCCAAAAUACAGAUCGAAAGAACACAGUGAGAAAGUUAAAGCAAUGGUUGCUAUGGUGUCAUGUGGCUCAGAUGUAUCCACGAUUCCUGGCUUCCCCUCUGCUCCACAUCCAAAAACUGAGGUGGGGCCAAGUAGUGUGAAUCUUGUUCCCUCCUGCACUAAAGUUUCUAGUCUCCCUGGUUUUCCAUCCAUUGAGAAGGAUAGGUGGGCAGGGUGGGUUGUUGACCAGAGGCCAUUGUUGAAGAGACCACUAAAGGAGAGGAAAGUCAUUAUUGACAGCUCAAAAGCAGACCAAGAGGAAAUGAAAACCAAUGUUCCUUUGAGGAUAUCAUGUCCACACUCUGCAAGGAUCCCUGGCUUCCCAUCUGUACCACAACCCAAUAUGAUGAUUAUUUUGCCUGCUUGCUCUAAAGCUUCCAGUGAGGAGGCUACAACAUUAAAGUGGCUUGUUGACCCCAAGCCUGUGUUUGAGCACUUUCUGAAGAAGAAGGAGGAAGAUCUUUUUCCAAAAGACAAGUCAAAAGAAGACAUUGACAAAAUGAAACCAUUAGUUGCUUUAGUGCCAUGUUGCCCAGAAGCACCCAUAAUUCCUGGCUUCCCCUCUUGCUUCCCCUCUGUACCACAACCCAAAGAUGUCUACUUGGGGCAAACUGUAGUCAACCUUCUUCCAUCUUGCCCAAAAGUCACCAGUAUUGCAGGUUUCCCAUCCCAUCAGCAAACUGACAGAAAAUAUUGGCGCACAGAUCCACCCAGAGAUCAUCGGCCAUUAUGGGAGAAGCAACUGAAAAAGAAGCAGAAGUUAUUGAUGGGAAUAAUAGAAAAAGACAAACAAGGAAUGAAAGGAAUGGUGGCUCUGGUACCGUCAUGUCCUACUGCAGCAAGUAUUCCUGGCUUCCCCUCUGCACCACAUCCCAAAGCUGAGGUAGAGCUAAGUAUGUUGAGUCUUGUGCUCGCUUGCCCCAAAAUGUCCAGUCUCUCUGGUUUUGCAUCCACUGAUGGGGCUACAGCAUUAGAGUGGCUUGUUGACCCAAAAUCUAUGUUUGAGCACUUGGAGAAGAAGAAGGAAGAGGAAGAAAACAUUCUCCCAAAAGUCAUCGGCAAAACGAAAGCAAUGGUUGCUUUGGUGCCAUGUUGCCCAGAAGAAGGCAGGAUUCCUAGCUUCCGCUCUGCACCACAACCCAACAGCUCCAGUCUCCCAGGUUUCCCAUCGACAGCCAACGUCCAGACAGGAGAUUGCCACGUUGAACAGAAGCCUUUGUUUGAGAAGAAGCUGAAAGAUAAGACCGUAAUAAUCAAAGAUGGGUCACCAGAAGACAGAGAAAAUAGGGUGUCACUGGCGCCAUCUUGCCCAUGUGAGAGUCUCACUUCUGGGUUCCCGUUCUUUACACAACUAAAAGCAAUAGAAGAACAAACCGUGUUUUCCCUAAUGCGAGCUUGUCCAAGUGAAUCUAGAGAACCAGGAUUACCUUCUAGACAGCCAUCUGAAUUAGCUCGAACCCAGGGAGAAGAAUCUGUGAGUUCUAUGCAGGAUAAUAGGUCAGAGGAUAUGGUGCUUUCCAAGCCUGACCUAAGCAGUGCAGUUGGAGAUGAAAACCUAAAAUCGUUGCUUGCACUGGUACCAUCUUGCCUCGAGGCAGCAAGCAUUCCUGGUUUCCUGUCUGCCCCUCCUCACAGUCUAGAGUCUGUAGAGGCAAAUGAGACAAGUAUGCAGACAGAGAAGAAAGAGGUUACUGGAGAACCAGCAGAGUGUGUUCUAGAUAAGGGCCCACAAAUAGAGAAAAUCCCAUCUGAGGAAUCUGAGGAAAUCCAGAAGUCCUCUGCAGUGUUAGAACCAGAGCUGGUCUUAGGAUGGGAGGUGUUGGAGGCUGAGGGGUCUGUGGCAGAGAAGCAGCAGGAGGCCUCUGGCCUAGUACAGACCAUUUUUGGUGUCUUCUCCAGGGGUUAUGAAACCGUAGCAGCCAUGCUGGGUCCGUCUGGCUCCUCUCCAACAGAAGGUACAGCCCCAUCAGAGAGCUCCUCUGAACCUGUCCCAGAUACAUCUACCCUCGUCCAGGAAGCAGUGUCUGGAAAGGCACCGCACCUUGAGGGUGAAACCAAAAAAACGAUUGAACUCCCAACCACCGCUGAGCCAUGCUUGUUGAAUAUGGAAGACCAACAGUCAAUGAGUGAGGCAAUGAGACAAGACACUGAGGAUGGGUUUGUUCAUGUCCAAGAUCUAAGCAGUAUGAGAAAAUGGCCGUCAUUGACGGAGGCUGACCUUACUGAGAUCUCCAGAGGAAAAUUUGUGGUAACUGGAGAAGAAGAGAUUUACCUUGACCUGUGGGCGCAAAUAGGGGAGAAAUCAACGUUAAAAGCACAGGACUCUGGACAGAUAACAGGUUAUGUUGAUAUUUAUUCAGCCGGGUUACCUGUCGAGACAGAAUUAUCCACUUCAUUACACCAGGACAAGGGGUGA